rnacentral:rRNA from 1 species
UUGCAGUUAAAAAGCUCGUAGUUGAACUUCUAAGGAUUGAAGUCGCCUCAUGGCUUGUAUUGAUAUCCUUAUCCGCUUUGGUUUAGCAAUACGCACUUUGUUGGGCGAUUGUGUAACCAAGCAAUUUACUUUGAAAAAAUUAGAGUGUUUCAAGCAGGCGAUUUGCUGGAAUACAUUAGCAUGGAAUAAUAGAACACGACCUCUUAGGCAUUUUAUUGGUAUAUGACUGGAGGUAAUGAUUAACAGGGACAGUUGGGGGCAUUAGUAUUGCAUUGUCAGAGGUGAAAUUCAUUGAUUAGUGCAAGACUAACUUAUGCGAAAGCAUUUGCCAAGGAUGUUUUCAUUAAUCAAGAACGAAAGUUAGGGGAUCAAAGACGAUUAGAUACCGUCCUAGUCUUAACCAUAAACUAUACCGACUAGGGAUUAGUGAGGAGCAUUGUGCCUCAUUAACACCUUAUGAGAAAUCAAAGUCUUUGGGUUCUGGGGGGA